GAACUGAAGCAUAGCCAAAUCCCUCAACACAGAAAAAAAAAAUCACUUAACAGCAAAAAGCAACUUCAUCCUGUUUCACUUCAUGGCUUUCACUUCCAAAUAUGGAAUAUAAGUAUCUGGAAAGCAAGUUGGAACUUGUUUUCAUCUCCAGAGAGAAAAGAUAAUAUUGGAUCAGAACCUUCAUCUGGCGAUGGAUGGAGAUAGAGACAGAGACCCACAUUGGAGCACCGGAAUGAGCUCCCAAGGUCCCAAUGAGGAGCAGAAGGAGGGAGAACAUGAACAAGGAAGUCAGGACCAUGAGGGGUGCACCCACCCACUGAGACAGAGGGACUGAUCUAUUGGGAGCUCACCAAGGCCAGCUGGACUGGAACUGAAAAAGCAUGGAAUAAAACCGGACUCUCUG